AAGCCAGCCUUAAAUUAAUGCAGAUGUAGCGUGGAAGGAAGAAAAUUCAUUCCACCAAAUAUCCUUCAUUUUAUAUUUUCAUUAAUUUAUUGUCUUUCAGUUUUAUGUUGGAAUUAAUAUUUUAAAGAAAAAUACUCUGUAUAAUAAUUUUCGGAAAGUUUUAUUUUAUUUUUGUGGGUAUAACUGGUGACGUCACUUCCUCCUUCACCAGACCAUUCAUGGCUGUUGCGGAGGAAGGUGGACUGAUGUCGGCUGGAUAUAUUAUUUGCUGCUGAACAGUUUUUCAUAUCAUUCUGUACAGAAUAAAUACACCAUCAGUAGGCUGACCUGAAAUGCCUGAGCGGUCGUCACUAGACAACGCAGAGUCAAACAAGUAGCACGCCUGAGGCCGGCUACAUUGGUGCCGUGACGAUCCGGAUUCAUCUUGGAUCAACAACAGCUUGGUCAUCGAGGGCUGCUGAUCAUCACCAAGAGGUUCCUUUAAAUUUGCUGGUUGCAAAGCUACGCUGUUACACAGUUGAAAGGACUUUGAAAGAAAAGGGGUUGUUUCAUUUUUUUCCCCUUGCAUUCUUUUUUAUUGUUGUUGUGUAUCUCAACUAAGUUUGAUAGAUUAAGAACCAUUGUUUCAUAUAAUAUAGGGUUAAGGUUGUUGUUUUUUUUUUAUUAAAAAUGGCUUCCAAGUUUGAAGAAGCAGAUGUAGCUACAACAAAUGAGAAUCCUCUAGGCCUUGGCAGAGGAAGGUUUUUGAGGGAGCUUUGUGAUACCCCUGUCAGAAAUGCAGACAAUGUUGGUUCACCAGCCUUUAG